AUUGAACGCUGGCGGCAGGCCUAACACAUGCAAGUCGAACGAGGGGCGGACGGGUGAGUAAUGUCUGGGAAACUGGCUGAUGGAGGGGGAUAACUACUGGAAACGGUAGCUAAUACCGCAUACCAUCAGAUGUGCCCAGAUGGGUGUAGCUUGUUGGUGGGGUAAAGGCUCACCACGGCGACGAUCCCUAGCUGGUCUGAGAGGUUGACCAGCCACACUGGAACUGAGACACGGUCGAGACUCCUACGGGAGGCAGCAGUGGGGAAUAGUGCACAAUGGGCGCAAGCCUGAUGCAGCCAUGCCGCGUGGAUGAAGAAGGCCUUCGGGUUGUAAAGUACUUUCAGCGGGGAGGCGUUACCCACAGAAGAAGCACCGGCUAACUCCGUGCCAGCAGCCGCGGUAAUAC
rnacentral:rRNA from 1 species